AACAAACGCUGGCGGCGUGCCUAAUACAUGCAAGUCGAACGGGGAAAGCUUUCGGGUGGGUACUAGUGGCGCACGGGUGAGUAACGCGUGGAUAAUCUGCCUUAGAGUGGGGGAUAACUAGUCGAAAGAUUAGCUAACACCGCAUAAGACCACAAGAACUGCGGUUCAAGGGGUCAAAGGUUUUUCGCUCUAAGAUGAGUCCGCGUAAGAUUAGCUAGUUGGUAGGGUAACGGCCUACCAAGGCGACGAUCUUUAACUGGUCUGAGAGGAUGAUCAGUCACACUGGAACUGAGACACGGUCCAGACUCCUACGGGAGGCAGCAGUAGGGAAUAUUGCACAAUGGAGGAAACUCUGAUGCAGCGACGCCGCGUGAGUGAUGAAGGCCUUCGGGUCGUAAAGCUCUGUCGCAGGGGAAUAACACAAUGAAGGUACCCUGUAAGAAAGGAUCGGCUAACUUCGUGCCAGCAGCCGCCGUAACAC
rnacentral:rRNA from 1 species